UACGUAGGGACCAAGCGUUGUUCGGAUUUACUGGGCGUAAAGGGCGCGUAGGCGGCUUAACAAGUCAGUUGUGAAAUCUCCGGGCUUAACUCGGAACGGCCAAGUGAAACUGUCAAGCUAGAGUGCAGAAGGGGCAAUCGGAAUUCUUGGUGUAGCGGUGAAAUGCGUAGAUAUCAAGAGGAACACCUGAGGUGAAGACGGGUUGCUGGGCUGAAACUGACGCUGAGGCGCGAAAGCCAGGGGAGCAAACGGG
rnacentral:rRNA from 1 species